rnacentral:rRNA from 1 species
GAUGAACGCUGGCGGCGUGCUUAACACAUGCAAGUCGAACGGUAACGGGUCCUUCGGGAUGCCGACGAGUGGCGGACGGCUGAGUAACGCGUGGGAACGUGCCCCAAAGUGAGGGAUAACUUCGAGAAAUCGGAGCUAAUACCGCAUAUGAUCUUCGGAUUAAAGAAUUUUAUUCGCUUUGGGAGCGGCCUGCGUCGGAUUAGAUAGUUGGUGAGGUAACGGCUUCACCAAGUCGACGAUCCGUAGCUGGUCUGAGAGGAUGACCAGCCAGACUGGAACUGAGACACGGUCCAGACUCCUACGGGAGGCAG